rnacentral:misc_RNA from 1 species
GUUUUUUUCAAUUUUUGGAGAACACAGCGAUUAAAUAAAUAGGACCUCACAAGUUUAAAGAUGACUCCAACGUUAGAUCAAAACAUCUUCAAAAAUUGAAAAAAACUUUCAAAGCGUUGUACCAAACAGGUGGAUGAAACCCACAAUAUGGGCAGGUGUUAAUUUUUGUCGUUCAUGUGUAUGUGUAGUACUUGUGAAAGCCAAAUCCUUACUGUUAUGACCUAAUAAUCUAAAUCGGAAAAAUUGAAGAUGUGUUGCCUGAUUUCUACAACAGCAUUAAUCAAGGAGAAUAUGAUGAAUAAAGGAUGUUGACAAAUGAAAACCCUAAGCCUCCAAAGGUACAGCAGUGUCAAGCCUCACCCGAUUUAGCCGGACAGUACCAAGAAUAUAUUCAGGCAACUCUGCUUCUUCUUUUGCCUCUAUCAAAAUUGCCAGAUCAACAACCAGGCUCGUGACAUAUCCAAGGACAAGGCCAAUUACACUCCUUGCUACUGAGGAUGAUCCAAUAUCUACAUCAAUCUCCAGAAAAUUGUCUUGUCUGAGGUACUUGCAGGAUACAGCUUUCCCCAAAAGGCAAGCUUUUG